AUUGGCCAGCCCUAAUGCUUAGCCCAAGGAUUGAGCAAGCCCAAGUCAUCAUCACUGGGUAACAUAUUUUAUUGGCGUGCUUUUGGGGACGAAUUGUUUUGAGUGAUGCAUCUCUAUUGUUGUGUAGAAUGGUGCAUGCUUGAGUUUUACUAUAGAGACUUACCGUGAUGCUAAUUGAGUAGCGAAACACUUUGUGGGAGUGUUUACUGUGCUUGUAUGCCAGUACAAAGUGUUGAUCUAUGUGAGGAUCUAUGAGAUGAUCCAUGUGACGAUUUUGUGUAUGUGAUGUGGAGUGUUGUUGAGCAGUUGUUGUGUGAGUUUACGUUUGUGAUGAAAGGAUUUAGUGGCCAUAGGAAUGUAUUUUUAUACAAAGAGCUGAGGCUCUGUAGAUUACUACAGAUUUGGAAAAGAUGGAGAUUCUAUGGUUAGGUCAACCUUAAUCGAGAGGAAUUGACUUGCGCUUAAAUUUCGGGACGAAAUUUCUUUAAGGAGGGUAGAUUGUAAUACCCGAAAAAUUCAAAUUAACGUCCGAUGUCAUUUUGGAAAUGAUUUCGUAGGCGUGGGCACGAAUACGAAGCUUGAAGGAGUUGUGGAAUUAGUUCGAACGAUUUUAUUUCGAAAACGAACGUUAUUUAGGGGGUCUUAAAAAGUGACUUCUUAUACGUACAGAAUUUGGGAAAACUUUCUUCAUGAAAGUUGUAGAGCUCGUCGAUACGAUCUCGUGCGUAUGUUGAACGCAAUAUUCGGAGUUUGUAUGAAUAAGUUAUGAAUAUUUGAAAAUCGGGAUUUUUUUUCUAUAAAUAUGGAGAAUUUCUGGAAUUUUUCUUAAAUCCCAAAAUUUCCUAUUCUUUCUAUUUUCUCCCCCGGUUUUCUCUCUUCUCUCUCCUCUCCCCCGACCUUUUUCUCUUCUUUCUGGGCGUUCUUCCUCUGCCAGCAGCGCCACCGUCCGGCCACCUCAAGCCGCUCUCGAGGUGUCCACGGCUUCGCCUCGACGUCGUCUAGCUACUGGACGUGACCACUUUCCCCGGAACGGCCUCAAAUCCGGCAAACCGGAGCUGCAAGGUUUGAGCCAAAAACAGUCAACGCCGGUUUUCUCCUAAUUCUGGCCACCAAAACUCACGAUCCUUAGCUCCCUGAACUCACCUCAACAUGCUGAUCAUCAUCCUAGAAGGAUCGCACCUGGAGUGACCGGAUUCACGUUCGUCGGAGCUCGGCCGGCUUUAAUUCGAAAACCACCUUCGAAUCCGAUUUUCUCGAGUUAUAGACCACCUUUUCUUGUGAUUCUUGGCCUGGUGAGUUCACCUUGAGAUUAUUAACAACUCUCAAGAAGGGAUCGAGGUCUGAGGUUGAAGUUUUUACGUCGGAAUUCAAGCUCGCCGGAUUCUGGAAAAUUUCCGACCACGAAGACUUUCGAUCAAGAUAUCGCGAGCUGUAGUGCAUCGUUUUGAUUGAUUCUUUUUCCAGUGGGUUCCCCUUGAUGUUGUUAACAACUCUCUAGAAGGCAUCGAGGCCUGAAAUUGAAUCUUUGACGUCGAAAUCGAGCCUUGCCGGAUUCUGCAAAAUUCUGGAAUUUUUCCGACCACCGAAGCUUUCGAUCGGUAUAUCUCGAGCUACAGACCAUAUUUUUCUGUGAUUCUUGAACCAGUGAGUUCUUCUUGAGUUUCUUAACAACUCUUCAGAAGGAAUCGAAGCCUUAAAUUGACGUUUUUACGUCGAAUUGGAGCUCGCCGUUUUCUGCAGUUUCUCGCCGGUUUCUGGAAAAUUCCGGCCACCUUCAUACUGUUCAAGGUGAUUGACGGUUUGAGUUGGCGGACGAUUGUGAAUCGUAUUUUGAGCUGUUAAGAAGACGCAGCGGGAUUAGAGCGGGUAAUCCUACAGGACAGGAGAACCAGGACGGUGAUCGUGCGGUUAGAGCAAUGGUUAUAGUUUUACAGCAAUUGUAAUAGUGAGGCGAGUUAAGCUCAUUUGAGCAUUACAAUUUGAUUUGGUGGGAGUGUGCUGUAAUAAAUAACUUGAGGAUUUGGGUUAUUGUAAAUUUGAGAGUUGUGAAGUGUGGUUGUUUGUGAGAAAAAAAUUCAGGAUGUUAGUUGUAAUUUGUUAUUAUUCAUGUUUCGGAUUUG